rnacentral:rRNA from 1 species
CCUACGGGAGGCAGCAGUAAGGAAUAUUGGUCAAUGGAGGCAACUCUGAACCAGCCAUGCCGCGUGCAGGAUGACGGCCCUAUGGGUUGUAAACUGCUUUUAUACAAGAGAAAACCCUGGUACGUGUACCAGGUUGAUAGUAUUGUAAGAAUAAGCAUCGGCUAACUUCGUGCCAGCAGCCGCGGUAAGACGAAGGAUGCAAGCGUUAUCCGGAUUCAUUGGGUUUAAAGGGUGCGUAGGCGGACUGAUAAGUCAGUGGUGAAAUCUCUUUGCUUAACAAAGAAACUGCCAUUGAUACUGUCGGUCUAGAGUAUAGAUGACGUUGGCGGAAUAUGACAUGUAGUGGUGAAAUACUUAGAUAUGUCAUAGAACACCGAUUGCGAAGGCAGCUAACGAAACUAUAACUGACGCUGAGGCACGAAAGUGCGGGGAUCAAACAGGAUUAGAUACCCUGGUAGUCCGCACCGUAAACGAUGAUUACUCGUUGUUGGCGAUAUGACAGUCAGCGACCAAAGCGAAAAGCGAUAAGUAAAUCCACCUUGGGGAGUACGCCGGGCAACGGUUGAAAACUUCAAAAGGGAAUUGACGG